AACGCACGAGACCUGCGGACCUGCGGAGGGAUCAUUACCGAGUGCGGGCCCUCUGGGUCCAACCUCCCACCCGUGUUUAUUGUACCUUGUUGCUUCGGCGGGCCCGCCAUUCUGGCCGCCGGGGGGCUUGCCCCCGGGCCCGCGCCCGCCGAAGACACCCUCGAACUCUGUCUGAAGAUUGUAGUCUGAGUGGAAUUAUAAAUUAUUAAAACUUUUAGCAACGGAUCUCUAGAUCGGAAG
rnacentral:misc_RNA from 1 species